rnacentral:lncRNA from 1 species
UAUUUUUGUGGAUAAAACAGAUAUGACUUGGUAGUCCUUCGUACAUAGUAGUGGGGAGAAAUGGAGAUUUCUGCAAUUAAACCACCGACAGUACUCCAUUGUUAAAUCUCAAUCAAAGUACACUCCGUACAAACAAGGUUCCCCCUCUUUUAUCAAAGAAACCCUAUUCAAACAUUUUUCUAUUCCUUUGUCCCCACAAUCCUUGGAGCAAGCAUCAUGGGGUCAUAUAUUAUGUUAUUGUCCCAUUUUGAAACCCCAGGUACAAAAUUCUGGCCAAUCACUUAUUCAACAUAGUAGUUUUUUUCUUCCUAUGUACUAGUAUUUUGACUGCUGUUUCAAAUUCUUGCCAACCACUUAUUCAACAUAGUUUUUUACUUCCUAUGUACUAGUAUUUUGACUGUAGUAGCCAGGAUUUUCAGUGAGGGUUCAACAAUACAUAUACGGACUAGUCGAAGGGGUUCAACCUCUACUGUUUAUACAUCAAUUUUUUUUCAUCAUGUAAAAAUAGUAUAAUUUUCCGACGAAGGGGGUCGGAUGAACCCCUGGACCCUAUGUAGAUCCGCCACUGGUUGUAGCUGUAGUAUACUCUGCCAUUUCUUUUAUGUGAAUGUAAUUUUAUAGGAAACUGAACAUUUUCUAAUCUAGGGCUACUGAAGUUGGCAAAAGAAUAAGAUAGAAUUACAUGGUCUGUUUUCCUUGUGAUUUCCCCCUUAUAGUCGCAAAUAACAUAAAAUCAAAUUACAUGCUACUGAAGCUCUCGCGAUGUGUGGGGUUCAGGGAAGUGCAAGGAUCUAUUGUACUCGACUAUACCUUGCAUUCCACGACUUGAACCCGUGAUCUUUUGUUAAAUGCUCUUUUCAAGUCUUCUGAGAUCGAUUAUCAGUUCUACCGUCUGACCUAUAUAUGGACACAUCGAUUAUCAAUCCGACCAAUGAGAAAAUAGAAGUAGGCCAUUUUGCUAAUUGGAAACUUGAAGAGGCUUAAUAGACUAAUUUUCUCAUUAGGUCAUUUUGCUAAUUGGAAACUUGAAGAGGCUUAAUAGCCAAAGUUUCUCCUUGAACCCCUUGACAUGAACUCCAAAGCUACUAACGUUCCUCUUUUUAUACCAAUUUUGCUCAUAAAAAAAGGUAAUACUGGAACUAUUCGCAGUUUGCAUGUACUGAUUUGAAAUUAUAUAUAUGGAUUAUGAAGCCUUUCUCUAUGUGGUGUAGCCAAAAAUUUAAGGGUGGAGGGUGAGUGUUGGCUACGGGUUCGGCCGAUCCUAGUAGCUUUAGUUCAAAGUUGGUAUUUUUCUUAAAAAAUCAUUGAUAUGUAUAGAUUAUUAAUUUAAAAAUCAUAAGAGUGUGACAUAGUGGUCAAUGAGCUGGGUUGAGAUCAUGAUAUCUCAGGUUCAAAUCCCAACAGAGACAAACACAUUUUUCUUCAUCUAUCAUACUUGAUAGACAGAGUUAUGUGAUGGCCGUUGCUUGUGUGGGUUAGCAGGUAUCCCGUAGAAUUAGUCAAGGUGCGCAUCAGCUGUCCUGGAUACCACGGUUAUCACAAAAAAAGUAUUUCACUCAUUUUUAUUAUAUUAGUGAUAGUGGUGGAAAAUGUAAAAAGUAAUGCUUGAAAACUUAGUUUAACAAAGAAAAUGAGCACAUCGAAUUUUAAAUUUUGAUUUGUUGAUUUGUAUACUGCCUUGUAUCUUGAGCCGGGAGUCUAUCGGAAACAGCAUCUCUACCUCUUUAGGGGUAGUGGUAUGGACUGUGUAUACUCUACCCUCCUCAGACCCCACUUUGUGGGAAUAUACUGGGUUGUUGUUGAUUUGUUGAAAGUUGUAACUAAAUGAAAUAGUGUCAAACACUUUAAGACUUCAAAAAUGAAACCAUGUCUUAUAAUUUGUGAUGAAAGUAGUAAAAAGAAAGGUGUUUCUAUGGCUUUGUUGGUACUUCUUAAAGUUUCCAUUUGCAAGAGGGUAAUAAAUAUAACAUAUAUGUAUAAGUUUAGUGUCCGGCUAUCAAAAAAUGUAUUAAGUUGAAUGCCCAGUUACACUGUGCACGUGGGAAUAACAUUGAGAUUUAGUGGAUAGAAAGAAAACUCCCUUACUGGAUUCAGUGUGUGCAAGGUUGAAAUGGCACCCAUCACUUUCACCGUCCUCCUUUUCCAUUCCUCCUCUGGCUCCUCAUUCGAUUGUGCGAAAAGGGAUAUAUGAGAAAGAAGUGGCUUUCUAUAAAUUGUUGGUCAAGAAGUUUUACUCUGUGCGAAUUCUAGUCUACCUUGUCUUGUUUUAGCAACUUCUAUCAUCAUAGUAUACACCCAACAAGAAGUAUAUGUCUGAUGUGACACAAUCAUCUUAGGCCAUUUUCUCUUUAUCUUUAACCAUCCACGUGUGCUACAAAUACCUUUGGGCAGAUAUGAUGAUUUUCUUAUUAUUGUUCAACUUCUUAGGUUUACACUUCCAUCUUAACAUUUGCAUUUUAUUUGAUUUGUAUUGUGAAUAUGUUGGGCCUUAGAGGUCUGACAUUUAUUUUUAGAUGGCAUCGCUGAUAUCAUAACCAUUUUAUAGAACUCAUUUUUUCACUUGAUAGACCAUGCAAAGACACACUAGCUUCUACUAGAGGUAUCAUGCAACAACGCUUAGUCGAAAAAAAUCACAAAUAACUAAAUAAGUAUAUAUGCAAAUAGCUUUUUUUUUAAAAAUAAUGUCUCUUUGUGUACCUGUGUGUAUGUUAUAAGCUGGCACCGCUUGAAAAAUAAAAUAAAAACAUCAAUUUGAGACAAUUAGUAAUAGAACAGUCCACCCAAACCCACUUACAAGCUGAGUUGUGAUAGUACGCUGACUCCACUUGUCCAAAAUCGUGUGCAUUGGUAUUUUAUCUCAUAGUAUCCUCGUAGCACCUCCAUCUCAUGAGUCAUCCUCCUUAAAAAAAAAAAUCUAAAGUAAAAAAUAAAAUAAAGAAGGAUGAUGACAACACUAUGCCAUAGGAUACCUAUAAUUCAAUCUGUUACAUUUUCAUAUAUCACUGCAAACUUCCUUAAUGAUUUAUUAAUAUAUCUUCCGAAAUCCAAUGGAACUUUCUUUCCAUUUCUAGGAUUUCUUUGGUUGCUGACUGCCUUUCGCUGCUUUUAAUUUUCAUACAUAAAGUUAAGGAAGCAACUACUGUGAUAUCUCAUUUUUAAGCUAAAGUCUCCUGCGGAAAAUCAAUGCUUCACAAGCAUUAGCAUAUCUUUGUUGUUUUUGACUUUGAGGAACUCUUGUCAACUUUUGGGUUGCAAGAGUUUUCUGGGUCCUAGUAUAUUAUAUCCAUGGUAUAUCUGUUGUCAGCCUAGGAAAGUUUACAUUGUAGACCCUAGAGCCAUUUGUUAAUUGGACUAAUAAUUGCUGUUAUCAUUAGUCUUAUUUUUGAGAGAAGAUUUGGAAAGUUUACCAACAGUUUCUGUCUUUUUAACUUUUACCGAAACUCGUUAUGUGGAUAAAUUUGAGUCGCAACGAAGUAAAAUUAGAAAUGAAAGAAAAGCUUAAAUUAAAAAGCUAAAAAGAGGGCAGGCUAUUUAACUUAUUGCAAUGUGAAGAUUGAACUAGAAACAAGAAAAAAAAAGCAUCUACUUGAAUGUUCUUGCGUCUUUAUGGUCCACCUUUAGUGGUUGAAAUUUUCAUUUGUUGGAUAUUGGAAUGCACUUUAUAAUCCAACCGAUAGGCCAUGACAAUGACGAAAUCCCUAUGCAUGCAGCCCAUUGCAUCCAGUUCAGCCUUUCAGUAUUAGCAAAUCUCCUCAGGAAUUCAACCAUAAUUACCUGGAGAAGUAGUGUCACUCCCACUAUCCCAAUAAACAGUCUGUUCUUCAAUAUCCCACGGAAUAUGUUUUUCUUCUCCAAAUUCCUUGCAUUGAACUCGUUGAAGAUUUGACAGAGGACGAAAGUAUUGAAGAUCAAGGUGUCUUUUACCUUCUUAUUCACAUGAAAGAUGGCACUUCCUUUGAACUGCAGGAUUAAUAGUACAGUUACCUGAUACAACGCUUGAGCAAUGAGGUUCCUCCACAUCACACCAGUUAUCAGAGGUUCAGUUCGUCCAACUGGUUUCUUGCUCAUUAGAUCACUACUGGGUCGCUCAGUUGCCAACGCUAAGGCCCCCAGAGUAUCCAUUAUGAGAUUCACCCACAGAAGUUGGACUGCUGUCAGAGGGACUUCUCCAGAUGAAGCAGCAGCAACAAAGUUGAUAACAAGGGCAGCAACAUUUACUGUGAGUUGAAACUGGAUAAACUUUUGAAUGUUAUUAAACACACACCUACCCCACUUCAAGACUGUAACCACUGUAUUGAAAUUGUCGUCCAAGAUAAUUAUAUCGGAGCUCUCCUUUGCGACUUCUGUGCCUUGGAUCCCCAUGGAAAGUCCAAUAUCUGCUGCUUUUAGUGCUGGAGCAUCAUUUGUUCCAUCGCCUGUUACUGCUACAACAUGACCUUUCUGCUUCAAACAUUCCACCAUCAAAAGCUUGUCAAACGGUGAAGACCUUGCCAUCACUCGUAUUUUUUCGACUACCUCCAUUCUUUCUUCUUUCGAAUAAUUCCUGAAUGCUGGUCCUUCAAUAACUGCAAUGUUCAAGUCUUCACCUGGUUGGAGUAUUCCACAUUCAAAAGCUAUUGAUUUGGCUGUAAACACAUUGUCCCCAGUAAUCAUUUUGAUGCUAACACCAGCAGCCCUGCAAGAUUCUACUGCUUCUUUUACACCUGGCCUACAUGGGUCCUUUAGACCCACCAGACCCAGUAAGGUUAGUUUAGAUUCUUCAAGAAUUUGACUUUCUGCAUUGCUUUCUUUGUAAGCAAAUGCAAUACAUCGCAAGCUCUUGCUUGCCAUAUAUUUAAUUUUCAAUUCAAGUUCUUCUCUUUCUUCAUGAUCUAUAGGUGCAACUAAUCCACUUUUGACGUAAUAAGUGGAGCACAUAGCUAGAAUCAUCUCAGCAGCACCUUUCCAAUGUGUGUGAACUUUUCCCGUACUAGUUUUUGUUACCAGUACCCCACUUCUCUUCUUUUGUGAAUUGAAAACUUCAACAUGAAGGAUUUGAUACUCUUGCUUUAUUUCAUUAAAGUUCACUAGUAAACUGGUCAUGGCCCAUGAUAGAAUUGCUUUCUCAGUUGGGCUUCCACAGAUCUCUGGAGGACCAGAAGGUGUUGUGUAAACAUCACCAGUAGUAUUCAAGCCAGCAGCCUCUUGUAGCAAUUCAAGAACUUCAGGUGCUAUUUGUGAUGUCAUCAUAAUUAUUUCUGUACCUAACAAAAACUCAGUUACCUGCAAAGAUGAAUUCAUAAUUUAAAUGUAAUGAGUUCUAUGUUCAUGUUCUUACUGUUAAAUUCCUUGCAAUUUCAAAUUAUUAGUUUAGAAUUUAAUAUUUGUUGAAAGUUUACUAAUUUUCAACAUAUAUUUAUGCUUCGUAGUGAAACUAGCGGGUUCAUUGAACCAAUUAAACAAGGGUGCAUUCACCUCAAGUUACGUACCUGCAUCUGGUUUAAGGUGAGAGUGCCAGUUUUGUCUGUGCAGAUUGUGGUUGCUGAGCCCAUAGUCUCACAGGCAGAUAGCUUGCGGACCAUCGCAUGAUCGAGCAUCAUUCUUCUCAUAGAGUAUGCCAAUGUUAGGGUGACGGCCAAUGGCAAACCUUCUGGGAUUGCAACCACUAUGAUGGUUACUGCUGCUGCAAUUAUACGAAUCAA